CCCUUAGAUGUUCUGGGCCGCACGCGUGCUACACUGAUGCAUUCAACGAGUCUAAAACCUGGUCUGAUAGGGCUGGGUAAUCUUUUGAAAGUGCAUCGUGAUUGGGAUAGAUGAUUGCAAUUCUUCAUCUUCAACGAGGAAUGCCUAGUAAACGCAAGUCAUCAGCUUGCAUUGAUUACGUCACUGCCCUUUGUACACACCGCCCGUCGCUCCUACCGAUUGAAUGAUCCGAUGAAUACCAUGGAUUGAGAGUACGAAUAGGUUCGCUUAUUUCUGCUGCUCGAGAAGUGGAGUAAAUCUUAUCAUUUAGAGGAAGGAGAAGUCGUAACA
rnacentral:rRNA from 1 species